rnacentral:rRNA from 1 species
CCUACGGGAGGCUGCAGUGAGGAAUAUUGGUCAAUGGACGAGAGUCUGAACCAGCCAAGUAGCGUGAAGGAUGACUGCCCUAUGGGUUGUAAACUUCUUUUAUAUGGGACUAAAAUGUUCCACGUGUGGGAUUUUGUAUGUACCAUAUGAAUAAGGAUCGGCUAACUCCGUGCCAGCAGCCGCGGUAAUACGGAGGAUCCGAGCGUUAUCCGGCUUUAUUGGGUUUAAAGGGAGCGUAGGUGGAUUGUUAAGUCAGUUGUGAAAGUUUUCGGCUCAACCGUAAAAUUGCAGUUGAAACUGGCAGUCUUGAGUACAGUAGAGGUGGGCGGAAUUCGUGGUGGAGCGGUGAAAUGCUUAGAUAUCACGAAGAACUCCGAUUGCGAAGGCAGUUCACUGGACUGCAACUGACACUGAGGCUCGAAAGUGUGGGUAUCAAACAGGAGUAGAUACCCUAGUAGUC